rnacentral:rRNA from 1 species
AGAUUGAACGCUGGCGGCAUGCUUUACACAUGCAAGUCGAACGGUAACAGGCCGCAAGGUGCUGACGAGUGGCGAACGGGUGAGUAAUGUAUCGGAACGUGCCCAGUCGUGGGGGAUAACGCAGCGAAAGCUGCGCUAAUACCGCAUACGAUCUAUGGAUGAAAGCGGGGGACCGUAAGGCCUCGCGCGAUUGGAGCGGCCGAUAUCAGAUUAGGUAGUUGGUGGGGUAAAGGCUCACCAAGCCAACGAUCUGUAGCUGGUCUGAGAGGACGACCAGCCACACUGGGACUGAGACACGGCCCAGACUCCUACGGGAGGCAGCAGUGGGAAUUUUGGACAAUGGGCGCAAGCCUGAUCCAGCAAUGCGCGUGCAGGAAGAAGGCCUUGGUUGUAACUGCUUUUGUACGGAACGAAACGGUCCUGGUUAAUACCUGGGCGUAAGUGACGGUACCGUAAAGAAGUAAGACACCGGACUAACGUAACGU